GCCCAAUGCUGGAACCUUCUGUGGAAGUGCGUGCUCCCCCUUCAGCUUCCCUCCGAUGUCCCAGUUCCUCUCUUUUUUCUUCUUUUUUCCCUCAUGUGACAUGAUCAGACAGCUGGGAGGAGAGGCCUGGCAUUGUACGUGGCCUUGGUCUUCUCACUAGGGUGGUAGGUGAAUCUUCAAAAGCACAGCCUUGCCUGCCAGUGUAUUUACAUUUCAAUAAACAAAAAUGCCUUUUUCAGUAUGUAGAUUCAUAACUAGGGUCAUAUCCAUGCAUUUUUUUAGGCGUGGCAUUCAGGCUGGAGGCUGGAAAAUGGAAUUCAAACUAAUGUGUGUUGCUCUGUGUUUAAGGCGGAUGCUGUUGUUACUUCACAACCACAUUCCUGAUGGUUGAUGGCACUUGAGAGCACAACCCUAAAAUACUUGAAUUUGUAUAUUUAUCUGUUACUUUCUUCCCCAUUUAGCAUAUCACUAAAUGUAUUUCCCAAAACAAAGUGGAGGAAAACAAUUGGAAUUAUUCAGAAUUUUCUUCAAGCAAAGGCUGAGACAUUUUUCUCAAAAGCUGAUGACUUUCUGUCAUCAGGAGUGCUCCCAUUAGUUAUUAAGAUUAAUGGAUCAUUAACAUGGUCCCAUAUUAGUAAAAUUACAGAUACUUCAGUGCUUCUCAAAUGAGGAAAAGGUUCUGAAAAAACUUUAAUGUUCUUAGACCUUACCAUUAAUAACAGCACUUAAACAAGAUUAGUGCAGGCUUUGAGCUGUUUACCAGUCAAUUAAGAUUAUGGCAGCGUUUGAAUUGAUAGUAACCAUCUCUAAACGACUUGCUAUGAGCAAAGAUUUAUCUUUUCAAAAGAUAAAGAUAGCAGCUUUGUUUUUCUCCUUUACCUUAGAAUAGUACUACCCAACCAGGAAUUAACUCAGGAAUGCCUGAUCUAAAUAUGCACUUUGUCAUCACUGCUAAAAAUGAUUGACCAUUAUUUACCAUGCAGUAGUUAUUGUUGGUGAGCUACCUCAUUCUAAAUUCCUGCAGAUGAUCAAAUACUCGGGUACUCCUAGGCUCAGAUGGUGGCUGAAUUUGCAUAAAUAAGGUCACAUGAAAAACACGUCUCACCUCUCUAGGAUUUGAUAUCACAGUUGCAGCUACCAGUGAAAAGCUUUCCCAGGUGAGAAAUACAGAUGUAUUGUGUAGCUUUCCUCUUAACUAUCCAAAUGCUCCACUUCUUUAACUGCAGUCUGAUUUGACCAUUUUGUGCAGCCAAUAAUGCCUUCUAAGGGCCUGCUCAAGCUUUGUGUUCACAGUAGUUGAUUAAUUAUUUUAAUUAACUUUCAGAAGGAAAGAGGACUUUUUGAGGUACAGAAAGCUAUUAUGUUUCCCCCCUAGAGUUCUGAGUGCAGAAAAUAAGGAGAACCUUCUGUGCCUGUUGUAGCAGCUGCCAUAGAAGAAUUACUUAUUUAUAAGGCAAAGCUAUCUCUUCUCUUCACAAGUGCAUCCCUUUCAUGCUGGUUUUAAUCCUAAAGCAUUCUGCAAACUUUCAAAAAAUGACACACAAGCAUUCACUCCCUAAAGCCUAUAUUUAACUGUGGAUGGACUAAUACAGCUUAUAUUUACAAACAGCUAUAAAUCUACAACAGCCUUAUUUCUGCUUCCUGCUCUCACUUGCACUGCUCGUGAUGGUAGAGGUUGACAACUUAGUACAUCUUUACUAAAUAUCAUUAUUGUUAGUUCCAUGUAAUAUUUUCUUGUGGUUGGCACAAUUAGGAAAUCGAUUGGAAGUCAACAUUACAGCUUUUCAAGCACCAAGUUAAUACUGCUGUACUGCUAAAGAGAGUGGGUUCAAUUAUUCCUGCUCUGUGUUGCUACUUGUCAAAAAAUCCAGCUCUAGAAACAGCUGAAUGCAUAUUUAUGGUAGCUCCAAGCCAUCCAUCAUGUAAGUGCAAUGUACAUAAACCAGCCCAUUCAGCAGCAGCAGCAGCCAGUAGGACAACAUGAAAACCAGCUAGGCCAGAUAGAAACCAGCCGGGUGGCAAUCUGACUUCCAUUCACACUCUGAUUUCAUUUCCCCUUAGCCUGACUUAGACUUGGCGGGCUGCUCUUUUGGAGACCAUCAUACGUGAAAACAGCUGAAUAACAAAGGCUUGUGUUACGAAAGAGAUGAAUAAGAUUAUUCUGGCAGUAUACAUGCUCAGUGACGUAUCGCGAUUCCAGCUGCGUGUUGCAGUUGGUUGUUGGUAAGCAGAAGGAAUGACUCAGCAAGAAACAAUGAAUUUAUAAUCAAAAGCGGUUGCAUUGCAGCUAUCAGUAACUUUACAGUAUGUAAGUCUAGUUCGGAAAUUUUUUUUUCAGGUGGGGAAUUAGCUCAAAUGGUAGAGCGCUCGCUUAGCAUGCGAGAGGUAGCGGGAUCGAUGCCCGCAUUCUCCAGUGUUUGUUUUCACUGUUUAUCCAUCGUGAAAUAAAAAGUGGUGAAAACGUUCCCUGUUUGUACCUCUACGUGAGAAAAAAUAAAUGUGAAAGACUUUGGGUGAAUUGUAAACCGAACACGUUCACGUGUUGCUUUCAGGAUUUU